rnacentral:sRNA from 1 species
CUUUUAAUCAAUUGGUCGCAGGUUGUUGACUUUUAAUCAAUUGGUCGCAGGUUCGAAUCCUGCACGACCCACCAAUUUAACAUCAAACUCAGAUGUUGAACGUGAAGGAUAACGUUGCGUCAGCAACGGCCCGUAGGGCGAGGCGAAGCCGAGUCAUCCUGCACGACCCACCA